rnacentral:rRNA from 1 species
GAUGAACGCUGGCGGCGUGCCUAACACAUGCAAGUCGAGCGAUCUUCUUCGGAAGAGAGCGGCGGACGGGUGAGUAACGCGUGGGUAACCUGCCUCAUACACAUGGAUAACAUACCGAAAGGUAUGCUAAUACAAGAUGACAUAAGAGAUUCGCAUGGAUUUCUUAUCAAAGCUCCGGCGGUAUGAGAUGGACCCGCGUCUGAUUAGCUAGUUGGUAAGGUAAUGGCUUACCAAGGCUUCGAUCAGUAGCCGACCUGAGAGGGUGAUCGGCCACAUUGGAACUGAGACACGGUCCAAACUCCUACGGAGGCAGCAGUGGGAAUAGUUGCACAAUGGGCGAAAGCCUGAUGCAGCAACGCCGCGUGAGCGAUGAAGGCCUCGGGUCGUAAACGUCUUUACCAGGUACGAAGGACGUGACGGUACC